GCUCCCCAUUGGCCGCUCGGCGAAGCCCGGUCUCCGGGUAAGAUGGCAGCGGACGGACAGUGCUCGCUCCCCGCUUCAUGGCGGCCGGUGACCCUCACCCACGUCGAAUAUCCCGCAGGUGAUCUCUCCGGCCACCUCCUUGCCUACCUGAGCCUCAGCCCCAUCUUCGUCAUUGUCGGUUUUGUCACCCUCAUCAUAUUCAAGCGGGAGCUGCACACGAUCUCAUUCCUCGGGGGCCUGGCACUGAACGAGGGCGUCAACUGGCUGAUCAAACACGUCGUCCAGGAGCCACGACCCUGUGGAGGCCCCCACGUGGCAGUGGGCACCAAGUACGGGAUGCCCUCCAGCCAUUCCCAGUUUAUGUGGUUCUUCUCCGUCUACUCCUUCCUUUUCCUCUACUUAAGAAUGCACCAAACGAACAAUGCCAGGUUCCUGGACCUGCUGUGGAGGCACCUGCUCUCCCUGGGUCUCCUCACUGUGGCCUUUCUCGUCUCCUAUAGCAGGGUCUACCUGCUGUACCACACCUGGAGCCAGGUGCUCUAUGGGGGCAUCGCUGGAGGCCUCAUGGCCGUCGCCUGGUUUGUCUUCACCCAGGAGGUCCUCACCCCGCUCUUCCCUAGGAUAGCAGCCUGGCCUAUCUCUGAGUUCUUCCUAAUCCGAGACACGAGCCUCAUUCCCAACGUCCUCUGGUUUGAGUACACAGUGACCCGGGCAGAAGCCAGGAACAGACAACGCAAGCUGGGGACGAAACUGCAGUGACUGGGGAGUGUGGCUGGGUCCAGCCUCCAGGUCUGGCCUGCAUGAUGCCUUGCAGGAUGGACGACAUGACAGACAGAGGGACGAAGCAGAGACCUCUACAGACCCAAGUCACCAAGUGGAGCCUUUUUUUUUCUUAUUUUAAUUUUAACGAACAAGGUGGACCAAAGGGCUGAGCCAGUCCCUCAGCCAGGACCCCGGAGGGCCUGCUGCCAGGGGGGGCCUCACGGCCAGAGUCCCUCGCUGCACUGCUGCCAGCCCCCGGUUGGGCGGUAAGAGCCCUUGGCACGGGCACCAGGGCGUGGGGUAGAGAAGGAGGGCUCGCACCUCUGGUCACAGGACCAGGAAAGCCAGGUGGCGUGAAAACUACACACUAUUUAUUUUGGGGUUUUGUCAAAGGCAGGCGGGAUUUUGGAGAUGGGGCUACAAGAGCCUGCUCUGCGGCGGCUGCCCUGCCUACCAGGGGCCCAGGUCAGCCUCCCAGCCCUUUGCCAGGGCCCGAGAGGGGGCCCGGGGGCCCAGGAGGAGGGAGCACCCCCACGCCCUCCCUGCUGCCAAUGCCAUUCCAGAACCUUGGUCAGUGUUUCCUGUGGGGGGGCUGGGCCCAGAGAGAGCACGCGUCUGGCGCUGCUAGCCUUGUGUCCUACCCGCAUCGACCCUGCACCAAAAGGGCUUUCUCUGGUCCCCUGUCCCCAAGACAGUGGUCCCUUCCUGACAAAAGAGCCUGCACAUGUGGGUGAGCAAACCCAAGCUGUUUACAGCUCUUUCUGUCCUGCUGUCUGGUCGCGCCUCGUCUUCAUCUCCACCCGAACAAAAUGCAGAGGAACCAGGAGCCGCCGAGAGGGGUGGGGGCAGUGGGCGCCUGCCGUCCCCGCCCUGCCCUUCCCUCCGUGAGCUCGGAGCGCCCCUUGUCCUUCCCGUCGCCCGUCCGAGAGGCUGGGAACCUGCUCGGGUCGCCCUGAGCCUGUGUCCGGGCUGUGGGCUCACAGAUCCCCACUGCCCAGCUCAGAGGAUGCUCCUCCCAGGCGCCAAGUUGCUUGCAAAUGGAGUUGCGGGGAGUAGACGCUUCCAGACUCAGAAGCUUCUAGAACUGAACCAGGCUGCUGGGGACCUGUGUUUGACCCCCCACUCCCACCCCCGGUCCCCCGCUGCCUUUUCUUUGUGGAGGUUCCUAAUCUGCUGCUGAAGCACAAUAUUUUGGUGCUUUCUUUUCUCAUUUGUUAAAGACAGUGUCCAAAGCCAUUCCAGAAGCCAGGACCAGGGGCCUAUUUCUGGGGAAGGUUGGUCAGUCCCCACGUUUUCCUUUCCUUCCCUUCUUAUUUUUGUUUUUUACUUUUUGCCUGAGACAAGCCAAGUGUGAGAUGGUUUGACUUAAGAAAAAUCAAUGGAAUUGUUUACUAUUGUUUUAAAAUAAAACCUUGAACUCUGGCAGCUUGAGCAUGUUGACUGAGCUGAUGAGAGGAGACCGGGGUGCGGCUGUGGCGACCCAGGACCCUGAGAGGCCAGGGGGUGCUCAAGACCAGACGUCCCGAAGCACCUCUGAGACGUCCAGGCCCCCCAGUCGCCAAAGCCGGGGUUGGAACGGCCUCCGCAACGUCUCCCACCGAGGCCUGAGGACGGCUCCCUGCCGUUGGUGUUUUCCGUCCCAGCAUACUGCCCUGUGUGGCCCUGGCUCUGCUCUCGGUGAGCCCCACUCCUCCAUGUGACAGCCCUUGAGGACCGGGAACAACCGUGUGUCCUUCCAAAGCCUCUGCCAGGAGAAACACCUCCGUUCCUUGUUCAGUUCAGUCCUUGAGUGUGUGGAGCAGGACCUUUAAAGCACCUGUCCUGCAUCCGGCACUUGGAGAGCGUGAGCGCACCGGUCACCCCCUCGGGAAUAGUGACUGAAUCUUCAUUGUUCUUUGACUUUUUUCUGCCCCCAGAAGACCGCGAAGCAUUCCACCUAAACUGGUCAGGGCUGUUUUAGGGGCUAAGUGUGUCUUCCCCAAAUGGUACCUGCUGCUCUAAAGAAAGGAGUGAGCCUCUGUACUGGGCAACCUGGAACAACUCAAAUGCGGUGGGAUGCCCUCGCUUCUAACGGACUUCAUUUUGGGGGAAAAACCCUGUCUUAGAGUCAGACCCGCAGGGUUCUUAGAACUUGAGAUUGGAGAGUCCUGGGUGUGUUCCUGGCCUGCGCCUCGCAGCUUCCCCACCCCGGUGGCCCCAGGCUGGGUCGUGCGGCCCCGCCCAGCAGUCCCUGGCAGGAGCCUGUGGGCCCUGCUCCGUGAGACCCAGCGUAGGACACCAGAGGCCAGCCCUGUUCCUCGGGAGCAGAUCAAGGCCCCUGUAAAGUGGGAUGCUCUCCAGGUCCUCCUGCUUGGGGGCCCUGGGGACACUGUGCACCCCUCUCCUGGCGACACCUCACAUCUCCGGCCUUGCUGAGUGGCCAGGCCUCAGGCAUUGCUCACUCCCCGCCCAGCCUGGGCUCCACUCCUUGCUCCCUGAAGCUUUGGGCAUGUGGCACGCCCUCCCAGAGCCCAGUUCCUUAUCUGGAGAAGGGAGACAACGGCAGGCCCCAGCCCCCCCAGUGAUUGUCGCAGGUCAGCUGGGCCAUGGCCUUUCCCGCUCCUGGUUAUCUUCCUUUCGGGCUUCACACAUGCCCCUCAGGGCCGUGUGCCCCUUCUCUCUCCACAAGCAGCCCUGCUAACCUUGGCAGCACCCCCAGCCUGUGCCAGGUGCUCAGGGUUGGGGAUAGGUAUAAGGUUCCGACUGGGUGGCCCCCGGCAGGGGCUAGGGCUGGGGGCAGCACCCCCAGUCCCGCUGGGCUCAGUGUGGGUCAGCAGAUGAGGCCGUGAACCCUGGGCGGGAGUCACACAGACACUGGAGUUUGGCCCUUGCCAUCAGCCUUGACAUGGGUUAAAUGAAUCACGAGCCACGCAGCUGCCAACCCGCAGCUCCCCCUGAGCGGAGCUCGGGGUGAAAACCAUGAGCGAGGCACUCCACGUGCUGGGAAAACUGGAAGAACAGGUCUUCGGGUAAUCAGAUGUAUUUGGGAGAUUUUCUGUGCCAGUUCUUGCAUUUCCUUGGAUCUAGGAAAGCCCUAAAAUCCUUCUUGGUGAUUGAUGUCAGCUCCUGUGACUGGCAGUAAUCUCAGACCAACAACAGACUUGUCAAACGUGUGCCUCUCUUGGGUGUCAGUGGUGUCUGAAAUGCCGCCGCCGUCCAGGCUGUCGUUACGAAGGCGACAAAGCAUGCACGUCAUCUGUGAAAGCGGUCACUGCUGAGGGGGAGAGCCAGUGAGUCCUGCAGGAUACUGGCCCCCUUGGUGGAGGUGCGUUGCAAAGGAAGGGCUUCAGGGAGCCCAGGCCUCUUCGGUUCCUGCUCCCCACGCUUUGCAGCAAAAACUCUUGUAUGUCCUGGCUCCCCCCCGCCUCCUCGGCGGCUGCCUGAGAUGCUGCCUCCUGGGCUUAAGUCCUUAUCUUGU